rnacentral:misc_RNA from 1 species
UACGUAGGUGGCAAGCGUUGUCCGGAUUUAUUGGGCGUAAAGCGAGCGCAGGCGGUUCUUUAAGUCUGAUGUGAAAGCCCCCGGCUCAACCGGGGAGGGCCAUUGGAAACUGGGGAACUUGAGUGCAGAAGAGGAGAGUGGAAUUCCAUGUGUAGCGGUGAAAUGCGUAGAUAUAUGGAGGAACACCAGUGGCGAAGGCGACUCUCUGGUCUGUAACUGACGCUGAGGCGCGAAAGCGUGGGGAGCAAACAGG